rnacentral:rRNA from 1 species
GAGUUUGAUCAUGGCUCAGGAUGAACGCUGGCGGCGUGCCUAAUACAUGCAAGUCGAACGAACAGAUAAGGAGCUUGCUCCUUUGACGUUAGCGGCGGACGGGUGAGUAACACGUGGGUAACCUACCUAUAAGACUGGAAUAACUCCGGGAAACCGGGGCUGAUGCCGGAUAACAUGUUGAACCGCAUGGUUCUACAGUGAAAGACGGUCUUGCUGUCACUUAUAGAUGGACCCGCGCCGUAUUAGCUAGUUGGUGGGGUAACGGCCUACCAAGGCGACGAUACGUAGCCGACCUGAGAGGGUGAUCGGCCACACUGGAACUGAGACACGGUCCAGACUCCGUACGGGAGGCAGCAGUAGGGAAUCUUCCGCAUGGGCGAAGCCUGACGGAGCAACGCCGCGUGAGUGAUGAAGGUCUUCGGAUCGUAAAGCUCUGUUGUUAGGGAA